AUUGAACGCUGGCGGCAGGCCUAACACAUGCAAGUCGAACGAGUGGCGGACGGGUGAGUAAUGUCUGGGAAACUGCCUGAUUGAGGGGGAUAACUACUGGAAACGGUAGCUAAUACCGCAUACCAUCGGAUGUUCCCAUCUGGGAUUAGCUAGUAGGUGGGGUAAAGGCUCACCUAGGCGACGAUCCCUAGCUGGUCUGAGAGGAUGAUCAGCCAACCUGGAACUGAGACACGGUCCAGACUCCUACGGGAGUCAGCAGUGGGGAAUAUUGCACAAUGGGCGAAAGCCUGAUACAGCCAUGCCGCGUGUAUGAAGAAGGCCUUCGGGUUGUAAAGUACUUUCAGCGUGGAGGCGUUACCCGCAGAAGAAGCACCGGCUAACUCCGUGCCAGCAGCCGCGGUAAUAC
rnacentral:rRNA from 1 species